rnacentral:pre_miRNA from 1 species
UUAACUCAAAUUUGUAUGGAGUUGGAACGUUUGCCUACGUUUGACGCUAGGGGCGCUGUUCCAACUCCAUACAAAUUUGAGUUA